CUGCAGGCGGAGUUUGAUCAUGGCUCAGAUUGAACGCUGGCGGCAUGCCUUACACAUGCAAGUCGAACGGCAGCACGGGGGCAACCCUGGUGGCGAGUGGCGAACGGGUGAGUAAUACAUCGGAACGUGUCCUGUAGUGGGGGAUAGCCCGGCGAAAGCCGGAUUAAUACCGCAUAAGAUCUACGGAUGAAAGCAGGGGAUCGCAAGACCUUGCGCGAAUGGAGCGGCCGAUGGCAGAUUAGGUAGUUGGUGAGGUAAAGGCUCACCAAGCCUUCGAUCUGUAGCUGGUCUGAGAGGACGACCAGCCACACUGGGACUGAGACACGGCCCAGACUCCUACGGGAGGCAGCAGUGGGGAAUUUUGGACAAUGGGCGCAAGCCUGAUCCAGCCAUGCCGCGUGCAGGAUGAAGGCCUUCGGGUUGUAAACUGCUUUUGUACGGAACGAAAAGUCUCUUUCUAAUAAAGAGGGAUCAUGACGGUACCGUAAGAAUAAGCACCGGCUAACUACGUGCCAGCAGCCGCGGUAAUACGUAGGGUGCAAGCGUUAAUCGGAAUUACUGGGCGUAAAGCGUGCGCAGGCGGUUAUGUAAGACAGUUGUGAAAUCCCCGGGCUCAACCUGGGAACUGCAUCUGUGACUGCAUAGCAAGAGUACGGUAGAGGGGGAUGGAAUUCCGCGUGUAGCAGUGAAAUGCGUAGAUAUGCGGAGGAACACCGAUGGCGAAGGCAAUCCCCUGGACCUGUACUGACGCUCAUGCACGAAAGCGUGGGGAGCAAACAGGAUUAGAUACCCUGGUAGUCCACGCCCUAAACGAUGUCAACUGGUUGUUGGGUCUUCACUGACUCAGUAACGAAGCUAACGCGUGAAGUUGACCGUC
rnacentral:rRNA from 1 species